AUAUUGCACAAUGGGGGAAACCCUGAUGCAGCGACGCCGCGUGAGUGAAGAAGCGCCUCGGCGCGUAAAGCUCGGUCAGCAGGAACGACGAUGACGGUACCUGAAGAAGAAGCUCCGGCUAACUACGUGCCAGCAGCCGCGGUAAUACGCAGGGGGCAAGCGUUAUCCGGAUUUACUGGGUGUAAAGGGAGCGUAGGUGGCAGGGCAAGUCAGAUGUGAAAACCCGGGGCUCAACCCCGGGAGUGCAUUUGAAACUGUCCAGCUGGAGUGCAGGAGAGGUAAGCGGAAUUCCUAGUGUAGCGGUGAAAUGCAUAGAUAUUAGGAGGAACACCAGUGGCGAAGGCGGCUUACUGGACUGUAACUGACACUGAGGCUCGAAAGCGUGGGGAGCAAACAGG
rnacentral:rRNA from 1 species